UAGUCCACGCCGUAAACGAUGAUAACUGGUUGUGCGCGAUACACAGUGCGCGACUGAGGGAAACCAUUAAGUUAUCCACCUGGGGAGUACGUUGGCAACAAUGAAACUCAAAGGAAUUGACGGGGGCCCGCACAAGCGGAGGAACAUGUGGUUUAAUUCGAUGAUACGCGAGGAACCUUACCUGGGCUUAAAUGUAGAGUGCAUGAGAUGGAAACAUUUCUUUUCUUCGGAACUCUUUACAAGGUGCUGCAUGGUUGUCGUCAGCUCGUGCCGUGAGGUGUCGGGUUAAGUCCCAUAACGAGCACAACCCCUACCGUUAGUUGCCAUCAGGUCAUGCUGGGGACUCUAGCGGGACUGCCACCGUAAGGUGAGAGGAAGGUGGGGAUGACGUCAAAUCAGCACGGGCCCUUAUGUCCAGGGGCUACACACGUGUUACAAUGGGUCGGUACAAGGGGCAGCUACCUGGUGACAGGAUGCCAAUCCCUAAAGCCCGAUCCCAGUUCGGGAUUGGGAGUCUGC
rnacentral:rRNA from 1 species